UCGUCGUUCCGCCAAGUUCGUAAGAAAGAUAGUGGGGGUUUUCCUUUUAUGGCUUCCGGAACAUCUUCAGUCUUCUGACUUACUGCCCGUACAUGCCAUCUCUCCUGAAUGCCUUAUGGCGCAUUCUGCCGUCCGGCUUUCG
rnacentral:antisense_RNA from 1 species